rnacentral:rRNA from 1 species
GAUGAACGCUAGCUACAGGCUUAACACAUGCAAGUCGAGGGGCAGCAUGACCUAGCAAUAGGUUGAUGGCGACCGGCGCACGGGUGAGUAACACGUAUCCAACCUACCGGUUAUUCCGGGAUAGCCUUUCGAAAGAAAGAUUAAUACCGGAUAGUAUAACGAGAAGGCAUCUUCUUGUUAUUAAAGAAUUUCGAUAACCGAUGGGGAUGCGUUCCAUUAGUUUGUUGGCGGGGUAACGGCCCACCAAGACAUCGAUGGAUAGGGGUUCUGAGAGGAAGGUCCCCCACAUUGGAACUGAGACACGGUCCAAACUCCUACGGGAGGCAGCAGUGAGGAAUAUUGGUCAAUGGACGAGAGUCUGAACCAGCCAAGUAGCGUGAAGGAUGACUGCCCUAUGGGUUGUAAACUUCUUUUAUAUGGGAAUAAAGUGAGCCACGU